CUUUCUUCGUGUGAGGCUGCGGUGCACCAGCUGGGCCACGCCGGGAGGUGCCCUCCUUUGCUUUCGAAGGGGUGCAGGCAAUGGGGCUUGGAUGUUGCCAUUUGCUGGUCUCUUGCACAGGCCCUGCCUCUGCAAGGUCAGUCAUGAGACAUGUCCACGGCAUUUUUUGAUGUAGGAGGUGAGCUGGCCUGUUUUGCAUCAUCCUAAUGGAAGAAAUGGUGGCGGGACCUCAGUUGCGUGGGUGGUCUUCUGGGAGCACAGACUUCUUCCAGACCAGCUGGUCUUGCUUCUGGAGCAUCUCUUGGAGCAGAAGACUCUGAGCCCCCGAACUCUGCAAAGCCUCCAGAGGACAUACCACCUCCAGGAUCAGGAUGCAGAGGUUCGCCAUCGGUGGUGUGAACUCAUUGUUAAACACAAGUUCACGAAAGCCUACAAAAGUGUGGAGAGGUUCCUUCAGGAGGAUCAGGCCAUGGGUGUGUACCUCUAUGGGGAGCUGAUGGUGAGUGAGGACGCCAGACAGCAGCAGCUCGCCCGCAGGUGCUUCGAGUGGACCAAGGAGCAGAUGGAUAGGUCCUCAGCCCAGGUGGUGGCCGAAAUGUUAUUUUAACGAGGAAAGACCACAGCGAGAUUCUUUCAUUCGUCUCCUCCUAGCCUGGGGGACCAGGCUCGAACUGACCCUGGACAUCAAAGGAGGGAUUAUGUGGCUGCUAAAGCCAUCGGCCCACAGCCCUGUUCACGUCUUGGUGCUUCUCUUUCCCAGAGUCUGGUCCCAGCCAGGCACACACAAAAGGCAGAUUCUCGUAAAUGCAGCCUCCCUCCCUGGAGGCCGCCUCCUGCCGUGGAUCUGG
rnacentral:sRNA from 1 species